CGUAGGGUGCAAGCGUUAAUCGGAAUUACUGGGCGUAAAGCGUGCGCAGGCGGUUGUGCAAGACAGAUGUGAAAUCCCCGGGCUUAACCUGGGAAUGGCAUUUGUGACUGCACGGCUAGAGUGUGUCAGAGGGGGGUAGAAUUCCACGUGUAGCGGUGAAAUGCGUAGAUAUGUGGAGGAAUACCGAUGGCGAAGGCAGCCCCCUGGGAUAACACUGACGCUCAUGCACGAAAGCGUGGGGAGCAAACAGGAUUAGAUACCCUGGUAGUCCACGCCCUAAACGAUGUCUACUAGUUGUCGGGUCUUCAUUGACUUGGUAACGCAGCUAACGCGUGAAGUAGACCGCCUGGGGAGUACGGUCGCAAGAUUA
rnacentral:rRNA from 1 species